rnacentral:lncRNA from 1 species
AGUGCUGGCGCAAGUCGUCUUGCGCCAGGCGACUGGGUCUGAGGAGGCAGGAGUUAUUCAUUCCCUUAAGCUUUCAGGCCGGGGGGAGAAUCUUUCAGGUGGUAGCUGCAAGAACUCUUAGUAUGUUGACCUCACCUCUGCCUUCCACAUACCACUACCAGUGAGGAAUUAGGAAUGCAUGAGAAGAGUGUCCAAGAAGAGUGUCCUCAUUCAUGCAAGGCUUAAGAGAGAAUGCAGGUCAACAUCACCAUGUCAAUCAGAGGUGCAGAUGCUGAGAGCACUUUCUAGUCAAGUCCUGCAUGUUCAUUUCUGUCUCAAGUCAGCUUCUCUGAGAAUCCAAUUUAUAAAAAUAUAUUUGUGAAUGUAUAAGUAAAGUGACUUGGAUUUUGUCUACGUACAAGGACUUCUAUGCCUGCAUAAAACAGCUUUCAGAGUGACUAACCAUACCAGUUUGACCAAGACUGUAUUGGCUGCAGCACUUAAAAGCUCACAUCCCGGAAAUCCUUUGGUCCUCGGUGAAUUGGGAUGGUUGGUUACCCUAUUACUGAUGAUUGUAAUUCUCAGCGUAGUUUGGAACCAGCAGCAGCAGCAGCUCCCCAGACCUACUGAAUCAGAAUCUACAUUUUGAUAAGAGCCCAGGGUGACUCCAUGUACGUGAAAAAGUUUGAGAAGUCCUUAGACCUACAGUUCACAGCUUCUCCUUCUUUCUUAUUCAACUGAAUUGCAGUGGGACCUGAGUAUGGUUAAAAUAAAUGAAUAAAAACACAAA